AGGGAGUCGUGUUACUGCAUCAAGUUGUGCUGUUUCCUGAGAUAGCCCAAAGGAGGAAGAAAAGUCAGAUCGGAAAUAAAGCCAAGAAUGUAAAGGGUUUAACAGUAACAACUUGUUGGGAUGAAACCUAGGAGACCUGGUGGAGACACCAAGUCACCCACCCCAUUGGCAGGUUUUGAAAUGUUCACAAAAACAUACUGUGACUUUAUAACUUCUAGAAUGACUAUUAAUGCUGCCUAAGGGGCAUGCCACUGAGUCUUAGUCUGUCUGUCUGUCUCUCCCUCUCUAUCUCUCACUCUUUCUUUCUCUCACUCUCGGUCUCUCUCUUUCUAUCUGUCUCCCCUCCCCCUCCCCCUCCUCCUUCUCCUCCUUCUUCCUUCUUCCGUCUUCGUCUUCUUCUUCUUCUUCUUCUUCUUCUUCUUCUUCUUCUUCGUCGUCGUCGUCGUCGUCGUCGUCGUCGUCGUCUUCUUCUUCUUCUUCUUCUUCUUCUUCUUCGUCGUCGUCGUCGUCGUCGUCGUCGUCGUCGUCUUCUUCUUCUUCUUCUUCUUCUUCUUCUUCUUCUUCUUCUUCUUCUUCUUCUUCUCCUUCUUCUUCUUCUUCUUCUUCUUCUCUCUCCCCCCCCUCUCUCUUGCUCUCUCUCUCUCUCUCUCAUCUUUCUCUAACAUCUUUCUGUAUCUCUGCUGUCCCAUCCCCUCUGCUUCCCCAACACUCCCCUGGCUCUCUGAGCUCUCUGGGUUUCUGAAUGAAUUCUAAUGUGUCUGAGUAGGAGAGCUAGGGUGUGGAUCCUAGUUUCAGGUUUGCCCAUUCCACAGCAGAUGCUGAGUAACUCGGCUGUCUCUUAAGGGAUGCUAAGUAUUUCCUCUCUCUAGGACUGUUGAAUUUACACACACACACACACACACACACACACACACACACACACAGAGACACAGAAAUGUUCCCAUCAGUCAAUAUGGUCAAUGUUAAGAUUGGCUCUGGAUUGUAACUAUUGUGUGUUUAGAAUUAGAUUAUUAUUUUUUUUAAUACAUGUAAUCUGGCCAUGAUUGAAGCAACAGAUAAGAAUUCAGACUAGGGAAUUUUUGCCAUUGGAAUGGAUUGCUAGAGGUAAUCUAAGUCUUUAGUUCAACCGUAGGUAUCAAUCAAUUACAGGCACCCUUAAAUAGCAUGCUAAAAUGGAUUCCCAUAACUAUGAAGAACAAAUGCGUGUGGAAUGUUGAAUCCACUCUGCCCACUCGCUCCUAGGGAAGCGCACCAAGUCGAGGUCUUCCCGUCUACAUCCAAGUUGCUGACUGCAGCUUGAGAAUUCUUUAUUUCAUACUGAUCAGUUUGACUUGGCUUAAAUGUAUUUACUGCUGUUGUAAUUGUUUCUUGCUGUUUUCAUAUCUCAAUAUGAUAGAAAAGAGACGUACCCUAUUGGGAAAAUAAAACACAAAAGUCACUCUUACCUUAACCUCUUUAGGGAAACUGAACAGUACUUAUGGUCGUAAUACCUGUGUCUAUGGACCAGAGAUGAGGACUCUCUCCUAAAGUCAUACCAGAGAGAGAGAGAGAGAGAGAGAGAGAGAGAGAGAGAGAGAGAGAGAGAGAGAGAGAUUUGAGUGGCACUGAUCAUUAAAGGGUCCAAUCUCUUGCGUCAUUGCAAAUUCAAAUUAUUAUUUUACAAAUCUGAAAAUUUAAGUUUUCAAACUUCACAUAUAAGAAUAUAUAUAGCUAAUGCUACUUAGAGAAAUUGCUUUUGCACCCUCUUUCCUUUUGUUUUUGUAUCAUGCAUACUUAAAGAAAUAAUAUAUAUUCUCAUCUCAUCAGCCUUAACUUAACAUACCUACUUUUUCCAUGACUAUUUUUAUGGAUUUUUUUUUUUUUUUUAAGAAACUUGAUUUAAGAAACAACUCCUCCCUCAACACAAAGCACAGAGCCCAGCAGGGGCUGCUAAGGACCUUCUGAGCUUAUUGUUUUAUGAGUAGCUGAUUCUCAUUAUACUUAGCCAGCUUCCCCUAGGUGCAGAAAAUAUGGGUCAAGUCCUAUUUCCGUGGCCUUAUUAAGUCAGGUAGCAUUUUCAAACAUCUACGGCAUUGUUUUCGAGAAACCUUCCCCAAAGAUGUUUUUAAAAGCCACUUUUCCCUGUAUUUUGCCUAAUUGUUUUCCUACAAACCUCCAAAUGUUUAGUCUACUCUGUUGUAAGCAUUUCGCAUCUUGCCAAUUAAAACGCUAGCCUCUUGGCCCCAGCUUCCUUCCCCAGCUUCAUAGGAGCAUCUGUUUUCGCCACAUUCUCUCGUGUAGUUUAACUGGAAAUGCCAAUCAGUAAUGAUUGAUCACACUUCCAGACAAGAGCCUAGACCCUGAUUCGGCACUCCACACGCAUUUGCCAUUUUGAUUAAUGAACAUGAAUCAGGGGUGACAAUUCACAUUUGUGAGUGGAUGAAAAGAAUUAUUAGAAAUGCGCGCGCGCGGGGAAGCAGUAGCUCCCGCUCCUAUUGCAAUUGCACUGAAAACAAACACUGAGCUCGGAGGACCUCUCGCCUGUCACCAGGGAACAUCUGGGACAGAAAAUAAAACCCAGUCUGCUCGCGCCCUCUUCCAUUUUCUUGAGCUCGUGAAAGAUCUUCAUGAGUGAAUGCAACUGAAGCACCAAGUGAUUCUGGAACACCAUUUCGGCGCUUACACACCCUCGUAGAGGCAAUUCCCAUCGCCGCCGAAUAAUGAGGUCACAAUGAUAGUUGUGUGAAAGAGAAUGGUAAACACACUGAAGUGUAUUCAUUCUCUUAACUCACAUAAACAGUAAAAAUUAAGUAUUUCUGGGGUGUCUAGACCAUGAAUUUUAUUUUUCCUUUCUCUCCCUUUCACCAGUAUCACCUUGAGUAACACUAACUCAUCAAUAAAUAACCUCUUUUCAUCUCGAAGCCAUAGUAACAGUGGGUAUUUGACGAAUAAGCCGAGAGUCAUAUCCUAGUGAUACCUUCUUUUCUUUGCCUCUGAAUCCCACUGGCCUAAGUGGGAAUAUUGAUUUGGGACUUCAAAUAAAGUAUUUCUUAGGUGGAAUGCAUACAAUAUAUAAUCCAUAAGCCUUAUAUAUCCAUUUUAACUGACCUACUUGGCAUUUAUUGCUGUUUGGUUGGUUGGGUUUUUUUUUUUUUUCUUGUUGUUAUUGUUUUUGGUUUACUUGUUGUUUUAUAUAGGUCUUGCUAUGGAGCCCCAGAUAGCCUGAAAUCUCUAUGUAGACCGUGCUAUUCUUUGACUCAUAGAUAUCAUUCAAUAUUACUUUUAAAAUACCUUAAGUAUAAUGGCUUAGUCACUGUACUAACGGAGUAUUAGAUCUCUGUACCUACUUAAAACCAUUUGAAAGGAUUAAGGGUCUCAUCGCCUCAACAAAUAUCUGCUAGGGCUCCCUGCUACUGCAUUGGUUGCCAGAAACUACACUGUGUAGUGAGUACUGUCACUCUGUGGGUAAAAACAUAGGUCUGAGUCCCAAAAAUAUGUACUGAUCAUGCCAGAAAACUCUUACAACUUUCUACCACUUUGAAGGUUAUAAAAUAUAAGUGUCAUCCUCAGAGUUUAUUUUCUAACUUUAUCUAAUGUCCUAAGAAAACAGCCUAUUUUCCUCUUCCGUUGUGCCUGAUUCUCCUUUAAAGGCACCCGUAGAGAAAACACUAGUAGAGUUGGUUAAAUUGGUGUCCAUUUGCAAGAACAGCAGACAAAGUGCUGUUGGAUGGUCACCUGAAUUUCUCAGAGUCUCAUUAAAGUGUC
rnacentral:lncRNA from 1 species